rnacentral:rRNA from 1 species
GACGAACGCUGGCGGCGUGCUUAACACAUGCAAGUCGAACGGAAAGGCCCUGCUUGCAGGGUACUCGAGUGGCGAACGGGUGAGUAACACGUGGGUGAUCUGCCCUGCACUUCGGGAUAAGCCUGGGAAACUGGGUCUAAUACCGGAUAGGAGCCAUUUUUAGUGUGAUGGUUGGAAAGUUUUUUCGGUGUAGGAUGAGCUCGCGGCCUAUCAGCUUGUUGGUGGGGUAAUGGCCUACCAAGGCGGCGACGGGUAGCCGGCCUGAGAGGGUGGACGGCCACAUUGGGACUGAGAUACGGCCCAGACUCCUACGGGAGGCAGCAGUGGGGAAUAUUGCACAAUGGGCGCAAGCCUGAUGCAGCGACGCCGCGUGGGGGAUGACGGCCUUCGGGUUGGAAACUCCUUUCGCUAGGGACGAAGCUUUUUGUGACGGUACCUAGUGAAGAAGCACCGGCUAACUACGUG